UAGAAAGGAAACAUAUAAAAUACAUGGUUC
rnacentral:piRNA from 1 species